CCUUUGACGUUAGCGGCGGACGGGUGAGUAACACGUGGGUAACCUACCUAUAAGACUGGGAUAACUUCGGGAAACCGGAGCUAAUACCGGAUAAUAUUUCGAACCGCAUGGUUCGAUAGUGAAAGGUGGUUUUGCUAUCACUUAUAGAUGGACCCGCGCCGUAUUAGCUAGUUUGUAAGGUAACGGCUUACCAAGGCGACGAUACGUAGCCGACCUGAGAGGGUGAUCGGCCACACUGGAACUGAGACACGGUCCAGACUCCUACGGGAGGCAGCAGAA
rnacentral:rRNA from 1 species